rnacentral:rRNA from 1 species
AGCUCCAAUAGCGUAUAUUAAAGUUGUUGCAGUUAAAAAGCUCGUAGUUGAACUUGUGGUAAACACUAGGUUCCCUGCCCAUUUGGGUUUUGGUGUUAUCUGGUGUUGCCAUCCUUGGGUGGAACUUGUGUGGCAUUAGGUUGUCGUGCAGGGGAUGUCCAUCAUUUACUGUGAAAAAAUUAGAGUGUUUAAAGCAGGCUUAUGCCAAUGAAUAUGUUAGCAUGGAAUAAUAAGAUAGGACUGUGGUGCUAUUUUGUUGGUUUGUGCACCAAAGUAAUGAUUAACAGGGACAGUUGGGGGUAUUCGUAUUCCAUUGUCAGAGGUGAAAUUCUUGGAUUUCUGGAAGACGAGCUACUGCGAAAGCAUUUACCAAGGAUGUUU